UCCCGGGCCUCCCCGCCUCAGCCGCAGCAGCCGCCGCCGCAGACACAGCCCAACUCCGCCCCGGGAAAAAGAGGCGGAGCAGCCGCCAGGGCGGCUCGGGGCCCCAGCACUCUGGCCUGGAGGAGGAGCUGGGGCGGGGAAUCAACAAAGUAGCAAUAAAGUUCCAAGGCAGAAGAGCAGUAAGGGCCAGGAAUUUGGGGUUAAGUGACUGCCCAGAGUCACACAGCUAGUUCUAAACAAGGAGAAUGGAGUCCCAGAUCUGAAAAAUCAAGCCACAGAGACCUUUGAACAAGAAUUCCAAGUGGGAUGUUGCUGCCAGCCCAGCAAAUGAGCCAAGCAGAGCCAACGUGCUGGGAGGCAAGCCCAGGAGGGCUUUGGACUUGGAACUUGAUGGGACUAAUGCUAGAUAGGAAUUGAGCUAGGCUGUAAACCUAAUUCUCUUCAUAGAGACAGAGGGAAUUUAGGGCCGAUCAUGCUUCCCAGGAGUUGGGGCAGUAUUUGUAUGUGUUUGCUAUACCUUUGAAAUAAAUAUUCCUUUUUAAAAUCCA